CACCACACAGGUAAGGGUCGUCGCCAUUUUGUGACAGUUAAAAAAACUCUCUAUCGAACUCUUACAGUAGCUGCCAAAGUCUGAGGACAAACCCCCGGACCACUACAUUAAAAACGCACUGCUGGAUUGAACUGGUUGUGGACAAGACUGCAGGUCACAGACUCAGAGACUCAGAACAAAGAGCCGUGUACGGAGUGUCCAAGGAAUAAGAGGAAAAACAAAGACUGCAGCGUUAGAGAAGGACAAAAGACGGUGAAGACUCCAGUCUGGUCCUCACGUGUAGACUCAGCUGUUGGAGUGGAUUUCUGGUAGUCUACAGACCACACUGCUGGCUGUCUAUUGUCUGAUGGUCCACUAUCAUGGAUUAUACGACGCUCACUUGUUACAGCACUUCAUUUCAGUUGUCACAUUUAUUAGAUUAAAAUUUGACUCACACACACACACACACACUGUGUAUUGAACAAUCCCAUUGACCAUUCUCUUAUUGUUGUUCCAGUACAUCAUCUACACACGUCAUUUAGCCACAUGGAUUCAACUUCAGGUCCGACGCCCCCUUGUGUCAAGAUGAACAGUAAUAACACUGAACCUAUGAAGCCAAACUUUGUUAGUUAUAAUUGUGUAUAUUUUUCUGUAGUAAUAUUUCCAGUAUUUGGAUCAGUCUCAGAUAAAAACAGAAUCACACACACACCUACCUGCUGUUAUAUGUCUUUGGUUCCAGCUAUAUACAGAAAAAUGAUUUACAUCAAUUAAUUGUGAUUAAUCUGAUUUUUUUCUUUGUAUUUGACAGCCAUAAUAUAAUUUCUGACAAAUGGAUAAAUAAUGAAUAAUGUCCUAAAUCAGAAACUAUCCGUCAUCUGAAGUGAUGACGUAGAAUUGUCUGAAAAAAUAUAUUUUUAAAUGAAGAAUAAUUGUUAUUGUUAUUUACAUUAGGCUUCAAUUAAAAAACACUCUGUACGUUACACCAUAUCAUUGACUUAUUGAUCUAAUGACUUCAUUGGUUUAGUCUAGAAUGAGCAGGUGGUUCAAAGGUAGAACAGUGGAUGGCAGCAGCCCCCACUGCACACCACGGAAGUUUGGCUCUCUCUCUCUCUCUCUCUUUGUCUCUCUCUCUCUCUGUGUCUGCUGCUCGCUCCAUAUGUUUUUAUUGUUUCUCAUCUAUUUUCUACUUUCACUGUUUUCUAGAAAAACAACUAUUUUUUCCCAUUCAUUUACAUUUUUUCCUGACACCCAGUGGUGCUUCAGUAAAGCAGCAGAAACACACUGUGUCCAGGGACCGGGAUCAGACCACAGCCCCCGGGGCAAACAGGCACAUUGUUGGGUCAUUGUGUGUGUGUCUGUGUGUGUGUGUGUGUGUGUGUGUGUCGCAGUCUUUCUCCCGGAGCUUGACCACCUUUUAUGUGCACCAGCGUGUGUGUAUGAAAUGAAUGCAUGAAUAUGAGAAAGUGUCACAUAUGGGAGAGUACUUGUGCACACUUCUGUGUGUGUGUGUGUGUGUGUGUGUGUGUGAAUGAAUGGAGGCCCCUGGUCAGGCCAUACGUUAUUGAUGCUCCUGCCUCGGGGUACGUCGGGGGAAAUGGAUGUGUGUGUGUGCGGGAGCAGCCUGGUGUAUGUUUGUGUGUGUGUAGAGGGGGUCACGUUGUGUCGUCAAACGGCGGCUGGUGAAAGAUGGCCACUGCUGAUAUGAUCAGUCAUCUGUUGAUCAAGAUGUACUGCUGCCGCCUCAUCACGGCUUCUCUGACAAUUCCACUGUUAACUCUCUCUCUCUCUCUCUCUCUCUCUCUCUCUCCCAUUUCCACAUCGUCUCCCUCUCUUUCUUCUCACUUCUUUGUCUUUUUCGUGCCUUUGGAUUUCAUAUUUUCUUUCAUAGAUUUCAAUUAACAACAUUAACUUAGAGUAGGUGAACAGCAGUGGUAACUGUAGUGUGUGCUGUAGUUUUCUGUCCUGCUCCUGUCCAUCAGUCCAGUCUGGAUCCGACGUGUCUCUCUGGUCCGACCGUACUGAUAUCCGUCCACAUCUGCAGAUUUUUAACUUUUUUCUUUUAACAUCGCUCAAUAUUUCCCUCCUCUGACAUCGCUCUCUUGUGGAGCCUCUGCUCAGUUCUCUGGUUUUUUCCUCCCUUCAUUAAAGUGUCAUGUUACAUACGCAGACACACACACACAC